rnacentral:rRNA from 1 species
AUGGGUGAGAGCCUGAUCCAGCCAUCCCGCGUGAAGGACGACUGCCCUAUGGGUUGUAAACUUCUUUUGUAUAGGGAUAAACCUUUCCACGUGUGGAAAGCUGAAGGUACUAUACGAAUAAACACCGGCUAACUCCGUGCCAGCACCCGCGGUAAUACGGACGGUGCAAGCGUUAUCCGGAUUUAUUGGGUUUAAAGGGUCCGUAGGCGGAUCUGUAACUCGGGGGUAAGAUCUCACAGCUUAACUGUGAAACUGCCAUUGAUACUGCAGGUCUUGAUCCGUACAAGUGGCUGGAAUAAGUAGUGUACCGAUGAAAUGCAUACAUCGAACUAACACCACCAAUUAGGGAGAC